AUAUUUUUGUGUUGUCAUCAUUUGUGGGUUUUUUUUUUCCUUCGUUCUCUUAGUACAUUUUUCUUUUUUCUUUGUUUUUCUUUGUUUGUUGACCAUAUUCCUGUUUCGGAAUAUUUUGUGGUGUUCAUAACCUUGUUGACAACAGCAAUUGUUUGCUUAAUUUUGUGUGUUUUUUUGUCUUUUUUGGGUAUUUUUAUUGAUUUAUUUUAUUUAUUAGUUUUUUUUUUCCUUCAACAGAAAAAGUUCUUAGCAAUGGCGUAUGUCCAAAAACUUACAUCAAGUCACUUUUAAUUUUAAUUUAUGGAUCAAUACCUCUUAAUGGUAAGUUCAGAACUGUUUUAUUUCUAAUUUAGCUUUAGAUUAGAACCUUAAAUGAUUUACUCUAACUUUUUUUUGGAACAUUAAUUUGUAAAUAAUUAUAUCACUAAAUGUUAUGUUUGAAAAUUUAGCUUUUGAAUACAAACACAACAAUUUUUGCAGUUAUCACUAUUAAGCAAAUUCCUUGAAAAAUUCAAUUUUGUACCUUGAAAACCUGAAAAUGUGCAUAAAUUUAAAAUCCAAGUUUGGUGGACACCCUGAUUAUGCAAGUUGAAACAAAAGCUUAUGGUUUUGUGGUCUUUUGUUUGAAAUUCCUGCUGAAAUGACUACUCUAACAUAGUGACGUUGUGAUGUCACCUGGUGAAAGUGGUGGUGUUAAAUAACUAGCAGAGUUGCCCCUUCUCUCUGUUUCCCUGUUAUCGCAGACUUGGAAUUCAUAAAUUUUGAAUGUGUCAACAGCUGAAAGUCUAUUAAGCAAUGGAAAAUCAGUACAGAUCAACCAUAGCCAAUGAUAAUGUUCUUGUAUUGCUGCUGAUGAUGGGGUUAUAGGGGAAGAUGCUGAACGAUGAAACAAAGCGUUGCAAUGGGGUCCACUUCCUAACCCCCGCUCCUAAAAGAAGUAGAAGCCAUUUGACCUAUGUACGUCUUGUUGUUGAAGGUCUGCAGGCCCCCAUCCAAUUGUUGUUCACCUUAUGUUGACAUCAGGGAUGGGAAGAUCCUCCAAGCUCCCGUCUGCAGGUGGAUGUCCCAAGGGGCAUCAUUUGUUGUUGGUGUGGUGGUGACUGAACAUAAAGGCUUUAACCUCUGAGACUCCCGGUUGCUGUCAGGUAAGCAGAGGAAGGUAAGCUCGGUUUGCCAUAACAGAAAGUUAAGGCAGCACCAAACUUUGUUGAUCAUGGUGAAAUUGUGCAACGGCCAAGCAGUAGGAUUUUGAAGACCGGGUCCAGCGGCCCUUGUCAGAGCUAUUAUUUAGUUAGUAUACACCAGAGUAAAAUCUUCUAUUAGAUGGACUUAACAAUUACAUUCAACCUGAUUUGAUAACACCCAUAUACAAACUAUAAAAGUAACUAAUAAUGAUCUGUACUUGCUUAAAAUUUAAGAAACGCUGUCUUGUCACCCAUUAGUAUAGAUUGUAUAUGUUUUUCUAUUUGAGCUGCAUAGUGGCAUACAGUUUGGAAACUUACCAAUCGUAGCUGCAUGAACAGAGACUAAGUUAUAAACUAAAAAAAAAUGAAUUCAUCUGUCUUUAUAUUUGUUUAGGAAAUAAUUCAGGUAGCAAAUCAAUACUUUUUAAAGGGUUAUUAUUUCAAGACUUAGUAAUAUAGUAAAAUGAAAUAAAACUAGUAAAAUAAACUAAUUAAGUGUAAACAAUGGACUGUGUUUCACAUAUUGUUUGAAACAAUGUUUAUGUUCUCAUAAAGAGAAUUGCAAACAUGCUUCUCUGUUUAUGAAUUUCACAUAUUUCUGUAUAAAAAUUAAUUCUUUAGUGGUUGAUAAUUUUUCAGCUAACCUAUUAUCAUAGUUCUAUUUCAAGACUUAGUAAUCUAGUAAAAUGAAAUAAAACUAGUAAAAUAAACUAAUAAAGUGUAAACAAUGGACUGUGUUUCACAUAUUGCUUGAAACAAUGUUUAUGUUCUCAUAAAGAGAAUUGCAAACAUAAGACAGAUUACCAUGCUUAUAUGUUUAUGAAUUUCACAUAUUUCUCUAUAAAAAUUAUUCCUUUAGUGGUUGGUUGAUAAUUUUUCAGCUAACCUAUUAUGAUAGUUAGUUUUUGUGUUUUUUUUUUUUGUUUUUUUGUUUAGGAAAGUGAGUUAAUCAUUCAUUUAACUUAAAAUUUCAUACAUUCACUAUAUUGUUCAGCCAUAGUUUCAAUCUUCAUAUUUGUUUCAUCAGGUCUUAUGUCAUUCUUCCAAAAUAUAAAUUACAUACCCAAGAAAUAAAUUAAAUACCUUUUCACCCAAAAUUUCUAACCUAAUUUAUUAUUGCCUUUUGAUUCUAUGGUUCUUAAAUUUGUUGUCAACUCUGAAACCUUGCUCCUUGUGAAGCUUCAACUUCAGGGGCAAUGGCAUCCCUAAAAAUUAGCAUAUAAAUUUAUUUUAUUUAUACAUUGCUGGAACAUGUCUUCCAAGGAGAACAUACUUUUUAUAACAUUAAAUUGUCAGAAUAAGAUUACUACAUUUCCACUUAAAAGUCCUACGGUUGCUGGGUAACAAUAGAAAACACUACCCUUCUUCAGAAAUGCAAUCCAUACCCUGCAUAGAGUAAAAUGAGCUUGAUUCCAAAUUUGGCAAGUUUUGUUUUCAUUGUUAUGAGUUAUGAUUUAUGGUAAAAAUCUCCCAGUUGUUGGUUACUGAAAAAAAAAAACUGUAUCUGUGAAAGACCAGUUUUUACUCUCUUGUAAAGUUGCCCACUUGUGACUCAAGCUCGUUUGGUUUUUGGGUACAUAUUUCAGUGAGCUUUUUCUACUACUAUGGCUUGAUAUAAAAAAAAACACUUUGCAGUUUUCCUCAUGGUGUGAAUUCGAACACAAAUGCAUACACCUCAGGCAGCCCACUUGGUUGGAAUGGUGAGUGCUUGCACUUUUAAGGCAUGGCCUGCAUUGUAAUGCUGGACCAGAUGGGGUGGCUAAGCCAUUUAGCACUGUUAGGCAGUCAACCAGAGGCUCGAGGUGGCACCUAUGCUAGACACCCUUCGGUGAUCCAUUUUCAGGCAUCUAGUUGGCGCUUCACUGAAAUGACCCAUGCUCAGUCACAGUGGUUGAUGGUUAAGUGGUGCAAUCUCUGGCCUCUCAUCAAGGUGAUCUGGGUUCAAUUCCCAGUGAGAUCAGACCCAAAGAUUUUUGCAAGUGGGAAACAUGUGGUUGUUGACAGGAGCUGGUGGGUUUUCUCAAGGUACCUACUCCUGUUUUACACCAUCAAUGCAUCCUAUCUCUUCUCCAUUCACAUUUUUCAACCCUUCAUUGUCUCUCGUGACUUUGAUGUUGACGAGAAAUUAAGCUACAACUUAUUAAUUCAUUUAUAUAGUCAUUGUCAUGUUGUAUAGCCAUCCUUUCUGGUGCAUAUUAGGUUAACAGAGUCAUUGUUCUCAGGGAUGACUUUCACCUGAACUGGAGGAGCCCCCAAAGCAAGUGACCCCACAGCCUGAUCUCAGUGGACUGGCAGCCAGAAAACAAGAGGAAGAGCAGCUGAAACUUUUGGCUGAAGAAGAGGUGGAGCCCAUUGGGGAAACACGACUCAACUGAAAACAAAAUUGAUGAAGCGUAUGAUAAAUACGAUCAUCCUGCCACCUAUAUAAGGAUGUGGAACUAAGCUCUUCGUCCAAGUACCAGCAACUGUUGUAGCAUGCAAACGCUUAGGAUAAGCACCGCGCCAGCACCAUUACAGGAGCAUCUGCUGGCACCGUCCUAUUGUAGGAGAUGGGCAAUCUGAGGCAGUGUCUAUCGAGGCGAUUGUUAAGCGACCUCGUAAAGUGCAGUCUCCACAGGUAGAUGCAUCUUUCCUCAAGCGAAAAAAAGCUGUGGAAAAUGAAGAAAGCAGUUUCAUUGUAGCAAAUGCUGCUUUCGUUAGCACUGUAAAUGCUGUUAAAGAUGCCAUCUUGAAAAAGCAAGACUCCGAAGAUGUGUACAUGGGCUGCAUUCGAGACAGCUUGAAGAGGGUGCCUCCUAGUGCCAGAACCAGGUGCAUUAUUGAUAUUUUGGAAGUUGUUGCUAAAUAUGAAGAAUCAUAACUGAUUUGUAUGUAUUUUGAAUGGUAAGUAUAAUAUGUUUUAUGUUUAAAAUAAAUGACUUAUAAAAGCA